rnacentral:rRNA from 1 species
AUUGAACGCUGGCGGCAUGCCUUACACAUGCAAGUCGAACGGCAGCACGGGAGCAAUCCUGGUGGCGAGUGGCGAACGGGUGAGUAAUAUAUCGGAACGUGCCCAGUCGUGGGGGAUAACGCAGCGAAAGUUGUGCUAAUACCGCAUACGAUCUAUGGAUGAAAGCGGGGGAUCGCAAGACCUCGCGCGAUUGGAGCGGCCGAUAUCAGAUUAGGUUGUUGGUGAGGUAAAAGCUCACCAAGCCUGCGAUCUGUAGCUGGUCUGAGAGGACGACCAGCCACACUGGAACUGAGACACGGUCCAGACUCCUACGGGAGGCAGCAGUGGGGAAUUUUGGACAAUGGACGAAAGUCUGAUCCAGCAAUGCCGCGUGCAGGACGAAGGCCUCGGUUGUAACUGCUUUGUACAGAACGAAAAGUACUUAAUAACACUAGAGGCUCAUGACGGUACUGUAAGAAUAAGCACCGGCUAACUACG